UUGCCUGUGUUCAUUUCCAGUCCUUGGCUUUCAACACCACUGCUCACAAAACAAGGAGCCACUGCUGAGGAAGGGAGCAGAGGUGCCUCCCAUGGCAAUAACAGCUUUCAUCCCAGGAGAUGGACAACUCCAGUGGAUGCAGAACCCUCUUCCACCUUCAGAUCCAGAUCCAGACUCACCUGAUAGAAGUUAGGAAAAAUGCUUGCUUUCCUGUGCCAUACUUCCAGUGGCAUAUUUCCUGAAGGGGUUUUUCUCCUUCAGAUAAGUACACAGCCUUCAGCAGGAACUCUGUGAUAUGAUUUCAAGCCAUAAAAUCUCCUUUCUUAUUCCUUCUUCAUCUCCUGGAUGAAAAUGCACAAAACAAUGUGAACAUCUGCAGGACCUGUGUGUGACCUUCCAUCUGACGUUCCUCCUCUGGAACCUGCCCUAACAAGCCUUGUGCUGUGAUGGAUGAAACUGAAAGCAAUUCCCUCUUCCCAACAAAUUGAGACCUUCAAAGGGAACCCAUCUCUUCUCAGAUGGGCCAGGUUUUGCUCACAAGACCUUGGCUUUCAUCUUGGCUAGCAGUAAUUCUGAAGGAAGGAAAACACCAAAGCACACUUUCUGCUGCUUCUUUGAUGUCUCAUCAAAGCAAACUAAAAGAAUACAAAUGCAAUAUCAUUAAAAUACGUUACUAAUCCUGCAGGAAUGGGGAGGCUUGAGCAUUAGAAAUUUGCUCAAUGCUACUUCCAACUAUGGUUUGUAAUCUAUGGAGGAAACUGUCAUGAGUAAUGGCUUGCAAUGUGACAAUGAAUUUUAAACUUUCUCCAGUGAAAUAUGGAUGUCAAUUUUUUUACACCAUUUGGAGAUAACUUGAAGUGGCAGUUGCUGGUUAGAGAAAAAAAAGCCAAAUGGCAUGGUUUAGAUACAUGGAAAAUGGAAGAUAAUGAUGCAUGAAAUAAAUGGAAAAGAAUUGAGGAAAACACUGAAAGAGGAAGUGCAGAACAGUUUGACCUACCAGUGAGCCUGGUUCUAUUUCUAUGGAAAUGAGCUCAUUACUGCUAAUUUUUUUUUUUUUUAAGCUCCUAGUUGAUUCGUGAAGUGCUGUUUGAAUUCUGAUAAGGGCUUCAUGAAUCACUGAAAAAAAAACAUUUGAACAAAAUAUCCAGAGUCAAAUGAUCACCAAGUCCCAUAGAUUAAUCAGCUGUCUGAACACUUUAUAUAGCAGAGCAGCACUAGGACAGCCAGCUUUUCCCCUGGUAUCAUCAGUCUAUAAUGCUCCAUUCUGCAAAGAAAAGGAAUCGUGCUUCUGAAAUCAAAUUCUGGAUGGUUACUCCAUCCAAGAGCCUGUAUUAAAAAGGAAAGACAUCUUUUAUUUUUUUUUCCCUGCUAUUUCCAUGUUUGUUCAGUUUUAGAAAUCAGCAUCCCAAGCAUUGGCCCUGGAAUUGCCUCUCAUCCCUGAGAAACAGGAGCAUCUGUGGCAUUCAUGGUGCUGCCACAUGUGGCACCCAUCAGUGCUGCCUGGGACACCCCAAGUGUGCAGGGGAAGUGCUCCAGGGCCAGAGCUAAGCUUCCUCUUAAACCUCCAGGAUGGUGAAAUAAAAUUCCAAUGAAGCAGUGGAUUUAAAUAUCAUGUAAGCUUUAUUAUUUUAUAAAGCCAUCAAUUUUUAAGGCUGUCUUUGGACAUGAGCAGAGUCUGCCUGUGACAGCUGGAUUUUUAACUGAACAGCACUGAUCGACUUUAUGUGUUAUACAUACAGCUUCUACACCCCUUAUUAAUUCUCCAAACACUUCAAAAAGAAUGCCCUUGGCAAGUUCUAUGACUCUCUGUUAAUUUGCCUUGUACUAAUUUUCAAGGUGUGCAGAGGUCACUACUUCCUCCAGCUUGCAGCUUGUAACAAUGCACAUGGGAGAAAUUACACCAAACAAAGCUCAGCCUCCUGCCUCAGUGCUUUGUGCCUCUUGUCCAAAGCCUUUCCCAGUUUGGAAGUGACUCCAUAGACUGUACUUGAGCCAUGACAAAGUGAGCAGCAACAAGCAGUGCUCACUGGAGGUGCACAGGGCAGGGCACCCCACGGAUCCCUUCAACACUCCCAGGGCUCAGCUGGGUUCAGCUCCACUCACACUGGAAGUGCAAUCACCAGGGCCAGGUUGGACACUGGGGCUGGAGCAGCCUGGGACAGUGCAAGGUGUCCCUGCCCAUGGCAGGGGUGGGAAUGGAUGGGCUUUAAGGCCCCUUCCAACCCAAACUGUUCUGGAUUCUAUGACUUAUUUGGAUUGGUUUUUUAAAAUAUUAUCUCAAGAUGGAUGGACAUACAGCCCCACCAAUCUGCAGUUAUGACAGAUCUUAGAUAAUUUUCAUUUUAAGACCAACAGGAAGUUGAGAGAUAAAUUUCAUUAUCAUUUACAUGAGGAACUACAGCAGUGCAAAUAAGAAAUAAUUUGGCAUAUAUGACUCUACAGAAUUGGCACAGACUUAAACUGAUUUCAAUUUUCUAGAAUGCAGAAUUAAUUUGGGAAGAAGAUCAUAAAGCACUUUGUUAUUCAGUUGAUAGUAUUAUAAAUAAUGCAAGGACAGUAUUUCCAUUCUGGAUGUUCCCAUACAUUUGGACAGGACUAUGUGAGACUCCAAAGCUGCUUUGUGAAAACACUUCCAAGGCUUUCUUUUUGCAUCUCACAUUUCUACACUUCUCAGAGCACCAGGAGCAGAAAGGAAUCAGCAUUUGGAGAAAAAAAAAGACAGAGGGUUGGUGUGGAACAGGGAAAUAUCCAAAGCUAUUUCUCUUGGCUGUGAGCUCUCCUGGCACAGCUGUGGAGGUGACUGCAGUUCUGCAGUGCCAGUGCUUGUGCUCUGUGUGGGAAGUGCAAACUGCAGCUCCAACAGCACCCUGGUACUCCUGAGACCUUGCACUCCCAUGCUU